GCACUUGAAUUGUUCCAGCUGUUUAUUUAUUCACAAUAAAAUUAUAUAUGAUUUAGUAUCAAAUUAGCUGGACUUCGACAGCCGAUUUUGACUUCCUUUAUUUUUACUUUUUGAAUUGUACUCCAACUGCAGAUUAACCCUUAAUCCAGCGUUGCCAGGUUUUCACAGGAAAACUGCCCAAUCUGAUUUUUGGCGUGGUUCCCUCUGCCAAAAUUCGCAUUUUAGGGGAUAAAUAUCAUGUUUUUGGAGUCGCUUAAACAAGCGGACAUGAAAAACAACCCCGUGGCAACAGUUUUAAAGUAGAGGACUUGGCAACACUGCCUUCAUCUUACUGCAAGAGUCUAAGAGGAUCAGUCUUUCUACUGCUACCGAGAUCUUUCUGAUUGUAUUUCUGUGAUUGUCGGGAACAUGGUGAGAACCCUGUAUGAUUUGUCUGAUCUGAAAGAGACCAGGUUUGGUCAGCCGAGUCCCAGACACGGUCUGAGCUUGUUGUGGUGGUUUGCUCAUAAUUGUGUUCAGAUUGACUCGAACAGUCGUAUGUCUGCACUGUACAACCCUGAAAAUGGAGCUUUUGGUUUUGAUCUAUUCUAUAAUCGGGAAAGACUUCUUCCUUACAGUAAUCGUCCAUACUAUGAGGUGGGCAACCUAAAUAACCCUGGAUCACUGCCUCGGUAUGUCACUAAGAAGUACACUGGAUAUUCAGACGACAGCAACAAAGAUCGCAUCAUUGUUUCCUUUAACUCACAUUGGAACAGUUUUGAGAAGAUUUAUGUGACACAGCACUCGGAUGAGGUGCACUUUGACCAGAAUCACACUUACCGCAUUAGCCCUAAUCUUCUGGAGGACAUUCAAGAGUUAAACCUGAAAAAAUUCCUCAGAAAAACUAUUAAUAAUUCUUAUCAGAUUUCGUACCAAAUGCAUUGCACACCGUGUCCAUCUCCAGCUCCGUCUGUAAAGACUGAAUCCAACCAGAGGCAAGGGUCUAAAUCUGUCAAGGGUGUUUGUGCAGAUUUCUGCGAAGUACUUUUUUGUAUCAUCAUCAUAUUUUUUUCAUUUUGUUCAUUUCGUUUUCAAAAAUGAAAAUAUAGUUUUCAUGCUGUUUGUUGUUCAUUUUGAAGCUGUGUAUUAUUAGAGCUGUGACUUAUUUGGAUGAAAGGGUCUCCUAAAUGAAUAACUGUAUAAUCUGAUGGAUGUUCAUAUAAUUAUAAUGAGAUGUUCAUAAUUCAGUAAAUGCGAGAUAUGAUGUUAAGCUUUGUUUUUUAUCACUGGAUUCUUUUAAUGAUUUAUUACUAUGAUGCAGAUAAAUAUUCAAGAUUGAGGGAGACAAAAGAUGAACUUAUCAUAAAAUAAAAAAAAACAAAACAGAAAAGACCGGUAAUAUAUCAUAAACUACGAAUUGUAUCUCAUGUCAUUGAUAACAGCUAAGAAUACUUUCUAAAAUAAAUACAUGCCAUUUAUUACAUUUAUGCAUUUAGCAGACACUUUUAUCCAAAGAAAAUUAAAGUGCAUUCUUCAGGCUAUAGUACACUUAUUUUUAUUUUUAUUUUUUACCAGUAUGUACGUCAUAUUAAACAAAUUAUUAAUAUGAAACCUAAAUAUGAGUGAGACAUUAUAGUUUGAUAUGAGUUUCAUAUAAAUCUCUGUAUUAUCUGCCCCAUCUGCUCUAAUGUGUUUCUGCUAGUUUCACUUUCCAUAGCAUGAGUUUCUAUUCAUCAGAACAGAAACAGACAGACACACACACACACACACACACAUAGUACAACCUGUAGGACAACUAGUGUGUUUUACUACAUUGUAGUUUGUGUCAUGAAUUCAGUGACAUCAGCAAACACGCAAAGCUGUCAUGUCAUGUAAAUGAAGCAGCCAGAGCCAGAGACCUAGACUGGCUUCUACAAGAUUAACCCUUUGUCUCACUGCAGUACUCCUAGAAGGAUUGUCGGGAACAUGGUGAGAACCCUGAAUAAUGUGUCCGAGCUGAGACAGACUGGGUUUGGUCAGCCGAGUUCCAGACACUGUCUGAGCUUGUUGUGGUGGUUUGCUCAUGAUUGUGUUAAGAUUGGCUCGAACGGUCGUAUGAUUGCACAGUAUGACCCUAGAAAUGGAGCGUUUGGUUUUGAACUAUUCCAUAACAGGGAAAGCAUUCUUCCUUACAGUGAUCUACUAUACUAUGAGGUGGGAAACCUGCACAAAGCCCGCUCACUGCCUCCUUAUGUCAUUGAGAAGUACACUGGAUAUUCAGAAGACAGCAACACAGAUCGCAUCAUUGUUUCCUUUAACUCAAGGCUGAACAAAUUUGAAAAGAUUUAUGUGACACAGCAUUCAGAUCAGAAAAACUUUGAACAAAAUCGCACUUACUGUAUUAGUACUGAUCUCCUGAAGGACAUUAAAGAGUUAAGUCGUGAAGACUUCCUCAGAGGACGCACAAAUCGUUCUGAACAGUUCUCUAUAAGCAUGCCUCCGUCAGUGCAGCGCAGGCAGACAAACACCUGUCUGAGCUGGAAAUGCCGCUGUGCGCUGAUUGGCUGUUCUCUGCUGUUCAUUGCUAUUGUUGGUGGAGCUAUUGCUCUCUGUUUGUAUUUAAAGCCAAAAUAGAUUGAAUCUGUUGCAGUUUGUUGUUCUAGAUAAUUUGAGUCAGUUUCUUAUUUAAAUAAACUUAAUACAUAAUACAUAUACUUAAUAAUAAUACAUUUAUUAACACGUUUAUUAUCAUGUGUGAUGUGGAGGGUUGCAUGUUAAUCACAGCAUUCUUUUUAAUGUUUCAUUGCAAGACUUUGGGUGAUACAUCACAUACUAAUAACUGUCUUCAUUUAUAAUAAUUUCUGUACUUUUUGUGCUUAUCCUUUGAAAUAUAUUCUUUGUAUUACCUUAAAACUAAAACUCCCAAAACCA